CCUACGGGAGGCUGCAGUGAGGAAUAUUGGUCAAUGGCCGGAAGGCUGAACCAGCCAAGCCGCGUGAAGGACGAAGGUGCCAAGCAUUGUAAACUUCUUUUGUCAAGGGACAAAAUCAGGCUCGAGAGCCUGACCGAGGGUACUUGAAGAAACAGCAUCGGCUAACUCCGGGCCAGCAGUCGCUGUAAUACGGAGGAUGCGAGCGUUAUACGGAUUGAUUGGGUUUAAAGGGUUCGUAGGCGGGCUGUUAAGUCAGCGGUAAAAGCCCGGGGCUCAACCCCGGCGAGCCGUUGAAACUGGGUGUCUUGAGAUGUCGAGAGGUAUGCGGAAUGCGCAGUGUAGCGGUGAAAUGCUUAGAUAUUGCGCAGAACUCCGAUUGCGCAGGCAGCAUACCGGCGGCGAUCUGACGCUGAGGCACGAAAGCGUGGGUAUCGAACAGGAUUAGAUACCCGAGUAGUC
rnacentral:rRNA from 1 species